rnacentral:rRNA from 1 species
AUUGAACGCUGGCGGCAGGCCUAACACAUGCAAGUCGAACGGUAACAGGAAGAAGCUUGCUUCUUUGCUGACGAGUGGCGGACGGGUGAGUAAUGUCUUGGAAACUGCCUGAUUGAGGGGGAUAACGACUGGAAACGGUAGCUAAUACCGCAUAACGUCGCAAGACCAAAUAGGGGGACCUUCGUGCCUCUUGCCAUCGGAUGUGCCCAGAUGGGAUUAGCUAGUAGGUGGGGUAACGGCUCACCUAGGCGACGAUCCCUAGCUGGUCUGAGAGGAUGACCAGCCACACUGGAACUGAGCCACGGUCCAGACUCCUACGGGAGGCCGCACUCGGGAAUAUUGCACACCGGGCGAAAGCUUGAUGCAGCCAUGCCCCGUGCAUGCAGAAGAACUUCGGGUUGUAAAGUACUUUAAGCGGGGAGGAAGGUCCUAAAGUUAAUACCUUUGCACAUUGACGUUACCCGCAGAACAAGCCCCGGCUAACUCCGUG